CUACGGGCCGCAGCAGUCGAGGAAAUUUUACAAUGCUCGCAAGAGUGAUAAAAUAAACCAGAGUGUUUCUCCUAGAGAAACUUUUGCCUAAUGUAAAAAGUUAGGCGAAUAAGGACUGGGCAAGACCGGUGCCAGCCGCCGCGGUAAUACCGGCGGUCCAAGUCGUAUCCACAUUUAUUGGGUCUAAAACAUUCGUAGCUUGUUUAACAAGUUUCUUGUGAAAUCUGACAUCUCAAGUGUCAGGCGUGCAAGAAAUACUGUUUUACUAGAGACCGGAAGAUGCAAAGAGUAUGAUUAAGGUAGCGGUAAAAUGUGUUAAUCUUAAUCAGACUAACAAUGGCGAAGGCACUUUGCAAGUACGGAUCUGACAGUGAGGAAUGAAGGCCAGGGGCGCAAAAGGGAUUAGAUACCCUAGUAGUC
rnacentral:rRNA from 1 species